AUCUAUGCUGUACCACCCUGAAUGCACCAGAUCUCAUCUGAUCUUGGAAGCUAAGUAGGAUCAGGCCUGGUUAAUACUUGGAUGGGAGACUGCCUGGGAAUAUUAGAUGCUGUAGGCU
ensembl:rRNA 5S_rRNA 5S ribosomal RNA